rnacentral:rRNA from 1 species
GAUGAACGCUAGCGGCAGGCUUAAUACAUGCAAGUCGUGGGGCAGCAUGAGUAGCAAUACUUGAUGGCGACCGGCAAACGGGUGAGGAACACGUACACAACCUUCCUUCAAGCGGGGAAUAGCCCAGAGAAAUUUGGAUUAAUACCCCAUAAUAUAUUUGAUAAGGCAUCUUAUUAAUAUUAAAGCUUCGGCACUUGAUGAUGGGUGUGCGGCUGAUUAGAUAGUUGGCGGGGUAACGGCCCACCAAGUCUACGAUCAGUAGCUGAUGUGAGAGCAUGAUCAGCCACACGGGCACUGAGACACGGGCCCGACUCCUACGGGAGGCAGCAGUAAGGAAUAUUGGACAAUGGACGAAAGUCUGAUCCAGCCAUGCCGCGUGAAGGAUUAAGGUCCUCUGGAUUGUAAACUUCUUUAUAUGGGACGAAAAAGGGCAUUCUUGUUCACUUGACGGUACCAUAUGAAUAAGCACCGGCUAACUCCGUGCCAG